rnacentral:rRNA from 1 species
GACGAACCGUGCGAACGUUAUUCGGAAUCACUGGGCUUAAAGCGCGUGUAGGCGGCCCUGCAAGUCGGAUGUGAAAUCCCACGGCUCAACCGUGGAAGUGCAUUCGAAACUGCAGGGCUAGAGUCCUGGAGAGGAAGGUGGAAUGCUUGGUGUAGAGGUGAAAUUCGUAGAUAUCAAGCGGAACACCGGUGGCGAAGGCGGCCUUCUGGACAGUGACUGACGCUGAGACGGCGAAAAGCGUGGGGAGCAAACAGGG